rnacentral:lncRNA from 1 species
GUAAUUUUUUUUCAAUCUUAUACCCACACACAUGAGAGGGGAUAGAGAACCACUCCACCGCACAGCCUCACCGGCGUCGCGGUGACUGUCACCGCCGCCGCUGACAUGAAGAUUUAGGGUUCCGCCGUGACAGAGUGUGGCGAUGGUGUUGUUAGUUGUCACCGAAGGUCAGUAACUCUGGCCAAUCGACUCAAUGGUGUUUCUGUGCAACCAAAAUCGGCGCCGAUCAGGUGUCGUUUGUCUAAAGAUGCGACUUCAAUUGGGCGUGUUGAGUUACUUUAUUGCUAUUGAUCAUUCAGUAAUACCGGAUGCGACUAAACCACUAAUCCACUGAGCUUUUCCAGCAAACUAUACAUAAAAAGACCCAAGACUGAAGAAAAAGGAUAGGAAACAGGGUAAAAUUCUUAUUCUAAAGAUGCCUAACAAUCAUAUCAACUCUGAAGACGGAAAACAGGAUAUUUAUUUGGCUUAUAAAAAUGCGGUCUGAUGGUGGGGUCUCUAAGAUGUCUAUUUGGUGGCAUGGGCAUAUGGAUAUGGAUCACCAUAAUCAGCUCCAGUAGAUGGAUGUCCCGCUAACAUGGCCGAAUGAAACAGGUCGUUCGAUUUCACCUAUGACGUUUUGCUGGAAUUGUUACGUUCCAUGUUUUGUUGGUUCCGGUCCGGUUUCGACCCCAGCUUCAAGGCAAUUCACACGUGUAUUUCGAAGAAAGAUCAUAUCAAGAUCCAAUGUUUUUAAAAAUAAUGUGGUUUGAUUUUAUGAUUUGGUUUGUGUUUUGCCUAUUGAUACUUUUCUGUGAUAGAUGUUAUGUGUAAAUAGACCAUGUUCAUCUAUCUCAUUGGUUGGUCAUAAUAAAAGGCUUUACUGUGU